rnacentral:rRNA from 1 species
UACGGGGGGAGCAAGCGUUGUUCGGAUUUACUGGGCGUAAAGGGCGCGUAGGCGGUCAGCACAAGUCAGUUGUGAAAUCUCCGGGCUUAACUCGGAAAAGUCAACUGAUACUGUGCGACUAGAGUGCAGAAGGGGCAACUGGAAUUCUCGGUGUAGCGGUGAAAUGCGUAGAUAUCGAGAGGAACACCUGCGGCGAAGGCGGGUUGCUGGGCUGACACUGACGCUGAUGCGCGAAAGCCAGGGGAGCGAAGCGGG